AUGUAUACAUUCCAUUUGUCUUCCAGGCAACUCCAGAGUUAAACCUCUCUAUCCAGUUACCGUAUAAUCCAGAUGAAAACCUGAAAGUGGAACAUGGCUUCAUCCAUCAGCUGUCAGUCACUAUGCACUUACUGAGGGCUUGAUGGAUAUUCCAGAGCAUCACCAGUUCUUUCAAUCACUUUUCUUCCUUCUGACUUUUUGAAUUGCCACCUGAGAGUCCUCCACCCAGGUAGUCCUCUGCCUCUUCCCAGGCAGCUGUGGCCGCACAGGUUUCCAUUACUGACUCUGAGGAACUCAUCGGUGCUUGAGUGGCGGCUCUCCUGAUGAACAGUGGCCAUCCCAAGGAGUUCUUACACUUCUAAGAUGCAGGGCUCAGAUGUUCAGCCCAGUUGCUCUCCAGCCUGAAUGCCCUUCUAAGCUCAGAUACUAUGUCCUGCUUUUCCCUCCCCUUUAGUAAUACAAGACAUUUGCGUUUC